AGGUGUUUGCAGCAAUGUUUGAGCACUGUACCAGCCACGACCGCAGUCGUUGCAUCCCUGAACUGUCAUGGGCCUCCUGCGGCCUUGCUUCUUCCCCUGCCUUCUGCGCGGGCGAACCCCUUUUCGUCUUCCCAGGCACGGCCGCGACCUCCUUCUCAGUCGUGGCGCUCCAUCCACCUUCCUCCCCGUCUAGCUAGUAUAAGACACCUGCUGAUUUUAGAUCCUGCUAGCUUGGCAUGGGCAGAUUCCUUUACCAGGCAACACAAGUUUCGAUUUUCGGAACGUGUGCUUGAUUUUGAAUUACAUAUGUUGUUGACAGGAUAUUAGAAGAGAGCUAAAGAUAAAAGCGUUAGUGGUUCUUGAAUCGGCGCCAAAUAUGGACAUAGUCGUGCAAAGAUCCCUGACAGAGCGAGCCUGUCCAGAAUGCAACCAUCAUGAACUCGAAUAUUACACGAAGCAGCUUCGGUCGGCGGAUGAGGGGCAGACUAUCUUCUACGAGUGCCCGGAGUGCGGCCACGCGUUCAAUGAGAACAGCUAAGAAAAAGGUUUCCUACUAUCAGGGUAUGGAUAUGGGUGGAAGAAACUGCUCCUGCCAUUGGUUGACAAUCGAUGUUCAACAAAAUUUCUCCUGCCAUGCGUUGACCAUUGAUAGAUUCCCUGCAGCGGCCAAAUCCUGGUGCCGCUCGUGAACUUCGCCUCCAUCAGCUCCACUUCGCCGGAGCAAUUAGUCCAGAGGAGGAGGUGUAGCCGGUCCACCUGAUCUCCGACGUGUUAUUCUAACUCCAAAUAAAUUCUUUUUGAGUUCUAUUCUUAGUCACAUGUACACAUGCAGGUUCUAAACUUCUUGUCCAGUCAUUCUAGUACUGAUGAAGAUCGAGUUGACUGAAAUAAUAUAGUCGAUUCUUGAGACCCUUACUAGUCUUUCCAUAUAUAGAAGUUGUGCCUGAUAUCCAAACAUAACUUUUCUC
rnacentral:rRNA from 1 species